rnacentral:lncRNA from 1 species
GUGGUAUAAUUUUUAUAACAUAUGAUCCACAUUUUGUUGGUGUAAUUGAUGGUGAAAGUUAGAUCUUGAAAUGCGUGGGCAUGUUAUAUUAUGAAACGGAGGGAAUAUCUAGUUAUGGAAGAGCUUUGAUAGAUCUAAAGUAAGUUGGUUUAUAUUUUUUUUUUUCUGGAAGGGGGAGCUCCCCGGUCUCUGCAUGGGAGCGAUGCACGCAACCAAGGAUACCUCAACACUAGGACAUGGCAUAUAUGUUCUAAUUGAGAAUAACAAAUUAAAAACAUCUCGUUGUGUCUCAAAGUGCGCGUGUCCAACUUAGUGAUCUCCAUCCUGAGUUCAUACUAUGGUUACCAUAUCUAUGUCCAUGACUUGUGAACAUAGUCAUCAACCGAGUCGUAUACUAGCUAAGGAUAUGUGUCCGCAUAUUCUUAAGGACUACGGACCAUUAAAACAAUCACCAUAGAAUAAAUAGUCUCACAAACAAGUCGCGUACUUGUUGAUACAUACAAGUGAUGAUAUUCAUGGACAAUAGAAAUAACUCAUGAAUACAUAGAGAAUAGUACUGUUGCAUUAGGGCAUAUAUGUAACAAGCCACAUAUAUAGACUUCACUAUUGAUUGUCUGGAGGAACGUAACGACCAUUGGAAAACACCCGACUGAUCAUUAAGAACAAUGUCGUCAAGCAUGGCUAGCAUGUCAUUCCAUGCCACAAAAUUUGCACCAAUAACUGCGCUUCUAAAAGCGCUUCGUAGUAAAAGACCCGAACCUCAAGAAAAUCCGCUUGACCCUAUUUGCCCCUCCAAAGACGAUAGCUAGUGAGCUUGUCUUGUUUUUUUAGAAACACAGUACAAAUAUAGACGCUUGCAACACACGCGUACACUCUCCCCUA